AUGUGGCCAGCAGCUUAUUCAUGGACUCCAGAAGCUUUCGAAGCCCACAUGGCAGCCAUACAUGAGAAAAAACCUAAAGCAAUAGAGUACUUGACAAGAUACCAUAGUAGGCUUUGGUCCAGGAGCAAAUUUUCCACUUCCUCAAAGGUGGAUUAUGUGAAAAACAAUCUGGCCGAGUGCUUCAACAACUGGAUUAACAAGCACAAGGGCAUGAUGUUGUUUCAGUUGGUGGACAAAAUUAGAAGGAAGAUAUUAGUCAAGAUGGAGAAGAGGAGGAGGAUUGCCAAAAAAUUGGAAGGCCAUCGUAUACUACCUAGUGUCAUGAAGGAGUUGAAUGCAAAGAGUAGAGGGUUGGACAUAGAGUAUGAGAGGAUUGACCACAUGAAAGCAGAGGUGAGUGAGGGUGGUGAAGAUGGCAAGCGACAUGUUGUGGAUCUGGACAUGAGGACAUGCACAUGUAGAGAAUUCCAAGUAUCAGGGAAGCCUUGCAAGCAUGCCAUUUCCUGCAUCACCGGAAUUAGAGGGGUCACUAUAGAAGACUUUGUUGAUGAUUACUAUAGUGUUGCCAAGUUCGCAGCAGCAUAUACUCCUGUAAUGCCGGGGCUUACUGAUGCAUCUCAAUGGCCAAAGAAAACCCAUGAAUUCUUUUUGCACCCUCCAAUCCUUCGAAGGGCUCCUGGGAGGCCAAAAGUAGAGAGGCACAAGAGUGGUGCUGAGCAUAGCAAGAGCAAGAGAAGAAAAGGACAACAUCAGUGCCCAAUUUGCAAAGACUAUGGUCAUAGAUGGCAAGGUUGCAAAAAUGCUGAUCCAGAUGCAAAAGAAGCGUAUGCUGAUGUGGCAAAAGAAAGAAGGAAAAAAAGAAAUAAAUCCAAAGUUGCAGCAAGGAGUGGUGACCCUAAUAUUCAAGCAAUCGAAGGUACCCAACCAACGUUGCCUCUUCCAUGUUCAACUACCAACCCAAGUGAAGUAGAUGUGGUGAAGUCAACAUCAUCUAAGACUACAUCAUCUAAAUCUGUGAGGUCCAAAACCGGUUCGAACCAAAUUGAGAGCACCUCAAUGGAAAUUGCGUCAACACCAAAGCGGCGCAAGGGCAAGUCGAAGGCAAAGGUGAUCCCAGCUGCAGCGGACAGCCCCGCAAUGGCCACUCGAAGCAAGAAAAGGCAACCAAACAGCCCUGCGAUGGCCACUCGUAGCAAGAAAAAACUGAAAGUGUGA
rnacentral:rRNA from 1 species